UACUUUCCAGGUUAAAAGCCUGACAACUGGGUGGAUGAUGGUGAAAAGGUGAGGACAGGAUGUCAGAAAAACAGAUAGGAACAUGGGACUUGGCAAAGGGAAACAGAAAGUCAUGGGAACAGAUAAUAAUAUUAACUAAUAGAACGCAGAGGGAGAAAGGGAGGAACAUAGGAUGGAGCAUUACGGGACCCAUCCUCACCUGUCAUUCUAUGAUACAUUGUUCCAAAUGGUUUACUUUUAAAAUGUCACUGCCACAGAGCAGGGUCUGUGGCACUGAUGUGUUCAGGCUAAAGCAUUCCCAAACUAAUUCCUUCUUUUCCAGGGUACAUUUCCACAGUGUAUUUAGGAAACUUAUGUUGAGUUUCUAGCACAAGAGUAGCCUCUCUUUUUCAUGUAGGUCCUUGGUUUCUUGCUGCCUAGUUUAUAAAGCAGUAGGGUCUGUCUGACACACUCAGAUCCUUAACUUCCUGUUAGCUCCUGGAUUUUUCCUGCAAACAAUAUGCAGGGAGGAUUUUUUUAAUCAGAACUUUCCUGCGUUCCAGGUUACUCAGACCAUCUGCAUAUGCCCAGAGUCAUAUUACAAUAAGCCCAUAACUGCUGCACUGAAUUCUCCAUCAACAGAAAUUUGUUGCAAUUAAGAGAUUACAUCUUGAGUGAAAGCAGUGAGGGUCGCAGCACUCUGUGGCACAGCAACAAUGAACAUUAAAUUGUAACUAAUAUCUCCUUCACACUUCUUGCAUGUACUUAGUAUUCCAUUGUGCUGUGUUCUUUAAUAUAGGGGACCAAAUUCAGAUGUAUGAGAAAGUGCAAAUCUAUUGGAUUACACCUAUUUAUGCCACAGAAGAUCGUAGGGCAUGGUGUUCUAAAAUAUUUAAAUAACAUGGAUAUUCUGCAAAAUAUACCGUGAUAUGUUUUGCUUAUACCUAGACUACUUGAUAUGCAAUAAUACCUCAAUAAUCCAUAUUAGCUAAUGUUGGGAGCCUAAGAAAAGUAAGGUAGGAAGUAGCUGAAGGAAUGAAUGACAAGAAAUAUUCCUUCUUAUACUGUUUCUCUUUUCUUCAGCAAUAGUUCUUGAGAAAGUGCUGCCUUGGUGCACAAUUCAGAAUCCUUCAGGAAAAGAGGAAUAAGUUGGUGAUGGACCUCCACUUGUUGAAGGAAAAAAUGACCCACAUUUUUCAGCCCCUCAUCCUAUCCUCUCAGAACAGAAAUUCCAUUGCAAGUUGAUCUGUUAAUGCCAUCCCGUUGAUUGUCCAUGUUUUCAUCAAACUAUUCGUAGAACUGAAAUGGAGAAAUAAGUCACUGAUUGUAUAAUGCUAUUUCAAAUUUUAAUACAUAAAUAAUGUUGUCAAAUGUGUUCAUUAUGUGAGGUUUUUCAAUGUGGUUAAUUUGACCCUAUUAAUUUUAGCCUGAGAAAUACAGAUACAUAUAGAUCAAUAAAUACGGUAAACAUA